rnacentral:rRNA from 1 species
CGGGUGAGUAACGCGUGAGGAACCUGCCUCAAAGAGGGGGACAACAGUUGGAAACGACUGCUAAUACCGCAUAAGCCCACGGCUCGGCAUCGAGCAGAGGGAAAAGGAGUGAUCCGCUUUGAGAUGGCCUCGCGUCCGAUUAGCUGGUUGGUGAGGUAACGGCCCACCAAGGCGACGAUCGGUAGCCGGACUGAGAGGUUGACCGGCCACAUUGGGACUGAGAUACGGCCCAG